rnacentral:rRNA from 1 species
CCUACGGGUGGCUGCAGUGGGGAAUGUUGGACAAUGGGCGCAAGCCUGAUCCAGCUAUUCCGCGUGUGGGAAGACGGCCUUCGGGUUGUAAAGAUCUUUAAUCGGGGACGAAUUUUGACGGUACCCGAAGAAUAAGCUCCGGCUAACUACGUGCCAGCAGCCGCGGUAAUACGUAGGGAGCAAGCGUUAUCCGGAUUUACUGGGUGUAAAGGGCGUGUAGGCGGGCAUGCAAGCCAGAAGUGAAAUCUGGGGGCUUAACCCCCAAACUGCUUUUGGAACUGCGUGUCUUGAGUGAUGGAGAGGCAGGCGGAAUUCCCAGUGUAGCGGUGAAAUGCGUAGAUAUUGGGAGGAACACCAGUGGCGAAGGCGGCCUGCUGGACAUUAACUGACGCUGAGGCGCGAAAGCGUGGGGAGCAAACAGGAUUAGAUACCCUUGUAGUC